rnacentral:rRNA from 1 species
GACGAACGCUGGCGGCGUGCUUAACACAUGCAAGUCGAACGGAAAGGCCCCUUUGGGGGUACUCGAGUGGCGAACGGGUGAGUAACACGUGAGUAACCUGCCCUUGACUUCGGGAUAACUUCAGGAAACUGGGGCUAAUACCGGAUAGGAAUCCUUUCUGCCUGGUGGGGGUUGGAAAGCUUCGGGGGUUUGGGAUGGACUCGCGGCUUAUCAGUUUGUUGGUGGGGGAGGGGCUUACCAAGGCUUUGUCGGGUAGCCGGCCUGAGUGGGCGACCGGCCAAAAUGGGACUGAGAUACGGCCCAGACUCCUACGGGGGGCAGCAGUGGGGAAAAUUGCACAAUGGGCGGAAGCCUGAUGCAGGAACGCCGCGGGCGGGAUGACGGCCUUCGGGUUGGAAACCGCUUUCAGCAGGGGCGAAGCUUGUGGUGACGGUACCUGCUGAAGAAGCACCGGCUAACUACGUG